rnacentral:tRNA from 1 species
GAGGAUAUACCUCAAGUGGUAGAACACAUGCUUAGCAUGCACGAGGUCCUGGGUUCAAUCCCCAGUACCUUCU